GGGCCAGGGGCCUUGCUUAUAUAGUCUUUUCAGAUGAAUCUGGGCCGUCGGAUCAAACCGACAUUGAUCGUGUGGUUUUCCUUGAAGUAUUAGGUCGGUGGAGCAUGAUCCGCGAAACGUUUCCUGAUUGGGCACUGUAGCUGGGCGGGCGCCCAGGAGAGUUGGGCGGGCGCCCUGCCUCCGAGCCCGAUUUCCUUCCCGUUUGUUCCCGUGGCUUCUAGAGUCUUCUAGAUGAUAGAAAAUUGCACGACACGUUAAUGUCUCUAUGUAAACCCGACGUGUGGGCCUUUCUUACUUAUUUCCUGAUAACCCCCUGCAGAAAUAGACAAACACCAAAACUCGUGGAAUUCUAUCAGAUAAAACCCUAAGUCUAGGUGUUGGUUGCAUUUGGAUCCUUUUCUAUGAUUAGUUGAUGGUUAAAUGUGAGCAUUAAGGACCGUCAACAAGCUCCCCCAAGCUUAACCUUUGCUCAUCCCUGAGCAAAGAUGAACUCAAGAGUUUCUGCAGUGGUUUCAUAACUUAAAGAUACACAUGCGUUUAAACAAGAUCUCAUCUCGGGUUAGAGUAAACUGUUAAGACUUAAAACUUACUCAUUUACCUUUCACCAUGGGACUUGUAACCGUCACUUCUGUCUUGAGUAGUUAAAAGAUAGAACAGUCUAGUCAAGCACCAUGUCUCUUGUUCUUCGAUUAACUAUAGCUCUGGAGUUUUUGCAGAUUUUCAAAUAAAACAUAGAGAUUCCUUGUAUGACUCUCUCUAGUCUCUCUUUUGUGGUAUUUCUGGAUCCUUACCAAGGCAGUAAUGGUACAUGCCUUGUCUCAAAGUAUGUGGUAUUUUUGGUACGAGGCAUAGUGACAUUGCCUUCUCUCUCACCCUACUCUAAUAAGGUUUUGAUAUCUGGAGCUCAUAGGUGGGAGACAGCUAAUACAUACUUACUAGACAUUUAUUGCAUAGUCAAACCAUGGAUCCAAAAGAACAAGUCAAUAAGUCAAAUCAAGAUGUGCAUGUGUGGCGAAUGAAUAGUGUAUGGUAAUGAUAGUGAUAACAAUGGUGAAAGUCUAAUUCUACUUGUGCUCUUUUGAUGGGAUACAUACCUUUCUUGCUCUUUUGAAACUUUUUGAGGAGAAUGAGAUGCUCUAUAUUUUCCCUUUUUUUCUCUUUUUCUUUUUUCUUUUCUCUCAGGUGGGUAUCUUGUACCCCUAAUUCUACUAUCGGACACUUGUCCAUUUUUACCUCUCAUCUCACUUUUUCUUUUCUUUCGAGGUUCCGGGCACUUGCCCCUUUUUAUUUCGUCGUAUCUCUUUUUUUUCUUUUUUUCUUCUUUUUUUAGAGAGCACUCAUCUCAUGAAAUAAUAUAGCAAGUGGUAGUAACAAGAUAACUUGAGCAUUUAUUUCAUAGGGGAAAACAUAAAUGUUUUUGGCUAUUCUCUCCCAGAUUAGGAGUAGAAUAUUUUUGGGUGGUUCUGGAGAUGGAAAUGGAUAUAUGUGGAUGGUACUUCCGGAGUAGAAGUAGCAUGUGUGAGUGAACGUGCAAGUGAAUCUUGAUUUAACCACAUGACAAGCUUCUAAGGGUCUACACAGCUUGACCACACUCAAUGCUCAUAAGUAGUAAAGUAAAUGUGUGGUUCAUAGUCUAGCAAGCAUGUAUAUAUGGCUGUGGUAGGAAUUUAAACUCUCAUCAUACAGGAACUCAUCAUGCAACAUUUUAAAGAUUUUCAAAGAUAAAAUUCUCCAGAAUUCUAGCAUCUCUAGGAACAGAUAAACAGCAGCUCAACCUUCCCAUAUCGUAUCCGUUAACGACUUAGACUUUAGAUCAAGUACUCUCCCCACAAGUUCAGGUUUAGAGCAGAUCUUAAUUAAUAACAGUCAUGCCUAAACUUAAGAGAGAUUUCAAUUUUUAGAACUAAUCAUGGCAGAGCAGCUAUUCAUCAUUUCAAUGUGAGAGCUUAUCAUGAGGGUUCAUAGCAAUCUUUAUUUAUUUAGCAAGCUAAGCAAAGAUAUAUAUAUAAGCACAAAAUCUUUAUUUGGGUUUUUAUUAUUAUGCAUCUUUUUACUAUUAGAGUAAAGUAUAAACGUGAGUAGAAUACUUAGCUAGAUAAAUGGGGGUGCUCUCCCCCAAGCUGGAUUUUGACGCAAUUUCUUCUGAUGUAGCUAGCAGGUGGUGGAGGUGUAUUUGAAUGUCGGCAGCACCCUGACAGCGAUUAGGAUGUCCUCCGUCUGCUAGUCUUCUUUGAUCCUUGAAUUCUGUGGAGCUCAAAUAGACAACAAAGCUUUGUGUUACUAGUUAAGUGUUAGCAUAAAUAUCUAGCCUUUAUCAUGUUGAGCCUCCUCAAUAAAUGUUACUCAUUAGUAGGAUCAUAAUUUUAUUUUUAUAAUUUUAUUUUUAUAGGACAGGAAUAUAUUUAUUUCAUUUUUUUAUGCCACCACAGUGAAUGUACUUAUGGGUUUUAUGCCAUGAGCAUACUCACAUGGGGCUUACUAUUUUUAACAUUUUUAUUUUCUUUUCAAGAUGAUAUGAACUUGAUUAACUAAGCAAACUAUUUUAAAUAAUUGAAAGGGAAAAAGGAUAACUACCAAGUUUACCUCUUGGCAAGGCGUUCGGUGUUUUUAAGUCCUCCGAACGGGACUCUCUAUUUUCUCAGUUGUCCUCGGAUUCGCUAGAUGGCGUAGUCGGUGGUUCCGGCAGCGCCUGGUCUUCAUGUAUAACUAUCUUCUCUCUCCACACCUGACUCGGUGCUACGGUCUCCUCAGGACAGUUCUGUUCAAGUUGUAUGUCUUCAGACCUUACGACUUCUCCUUCAUAGUCUGCCCAUCCGUCCUUGAUGAUUUGCCUCCUCUGGUUGCGGUUGCGUCGUCCUCUUCUUGCCCUGACCUGCUUAGAGUCUUCAACUAUAUAGUUAGGGUGAGUAAAAUAGCAGCUUACCUUCUCAGAGGGGAAGUGCAUGUGGACUUCUCCGGUUCCAAUGUAGAUUCUUGUUUUAACGGUGCUGAGGAACGGUCUCCUAAGGAUGAUGGGUGGAUCGUACUCGUCUUCUCGCAUGUCAAUAACCUGAAAAUCUUUCGGACUGUCUGAUCUGCCAUCUGGAGCUGAAUGUAGUCGAUUUCAGGGGCAUGGUUCUGAAUAGGAGCUGAUAGGUGACUGGGUCGUCCUUUUUGGUCAGGAAUGGUAACUUAAGUUGAUGAUCUUGACCUCCAUGAACUGCAGUGACCAUCUUAGCUGACUCGGUCCACAUUUGCUUGUUCCUGUUCCUCCUGUUGGUCCUUUCCUUGGUUCAUGUCAGGAUUGCUCUAAGAUUUGUGUAGUCUUGUUCUUGAAGGAAAACGUCUCCGUCCUUCCCUUGAUGUAGAAACUGAUCUUGGCAGCACUAGCGUAGAUGUCAGCUCCCGAGGUGUUCAGGAAUGGCCUCCCUAGGUUGAUGGGUGCCCUCUCAUCAGUAUCAGUCUCUAUCACCACGAAGUCUGCUAGAGCGUAUAAGGUACCAAUUCGGACAUAGAGGUUCUUCAAUAUUCCCUUUGGGAAACUUAGUGUCUGAUUUGCAAGCUGCAAACACAUGGUUGUUUCUAGGAAAGGAUGUGUAAAGAAUUUUUCAUAGAGUACCCUGGGCAUAAUGUUGACGCUGGAGCCAAAGUCGCAGAGUGCUUCUAGGAAGUCCACCAUGCCGAUGGAGAUCGGGAUGACGGGGCGUCCUAGAUUUUCUCUCUUGACCGGCAGAAGGUCAGUAAUUACUUCCACAAUGGGGUUACUCCAGUAGUUAUGUCCUCAAGCUCAGGGCAGUGAUUGCAUGAGUGUCCAGCAUCUCUAGUGUGUUUGUGCUCGUAGAUCUAGGUUCUUCACUUGGUGGAGUCUGGGAGUUGUAAAAGUCCUUCAUAUUUUGCUCGAGGUGUACCUGCUCAUAGGGACAAGGCAGAGAUCAAGUGCAUGGGCCCUGUUGGUGGAAAACACCAACAGAACCAAAAGUGUAUUUGUUCUUCUCUAACCUUAAGCAUAGUGAGCAAGGCAAAGUAGAUGGAUAAUAAGACCAUGAGUGUAACAUUUAAAACCUUUGUCAGAUCAGAUCACUCAACCUUAUGGAAAGAUAAUCUAUCUAAGUAAAUGGUUUUUUUCUUUACAUGACUAUCAUUUUCCAAAGAUUGAGUGUGCAACAUUUUAGUUCAUAAGAUUAGGAGUGUGGGAUCACAAAGGUGGAAGGACUAAACAUAUUGAAUCAAUUGUGUUGGUUAAUCUAGAGUUGCAAAUCAUACAUGUUUGUCUCUUUUAUUCAUGUGAACGCCAGAACCAAGGAGAAACUUAUAAAAGUGAUAGUCAAGUACCUUAAGAUGUUACCUUAAUUGAAGAGUGAUGGUACAGUAUCACCUUGUGGAAGCUUUCCUUUCUUAGUGGAUGUGCAUCGUGUUUGUGGCACCCUCCAUGGAUCAUCUCUUGUGAGCUAUGCCUUCCUUGUGUAAAUUGUUAAACUUUAUGUGCCUAUCUAUUUGUCUCCAAUGUGAGUUUAUCUCAGGACUUCCCAGGUCGAUAUUGAAAGUUUUCCUGCAGGGGUUAGUCCAACAAAAUAUCCAAUAUCUACUAUAGCAUACUAUCGGCUCAAAAAUCAACCUAGACACCAUGUCUAAUUUGAUUCAGGAGGGCUUUUUUAACCUAAGCACCAUGCUUAAUUUAAACUCCCUUGGAAGUAAGAUCAUCAUCCCUAAACUAAGCACCAAGCUUAAUUAAAAGAUAAAUGAAACUACUCCAAACCUAGACAUAUACUAAAGCAAAUAAAGGUGGUAUGUGAGCAUUUAUAGAGAUCUACUCAAGUGGAGAUGAAGUGUGAUUAGUAUUUAAUAGAUUGAGCAUGUCUCAAAGGUAGGGACAACCAACAUAGCAACAUGGCAAAUGAUGUUUUUAUGUAAAGUACUCCCCCAAGCUUGAAUUUUGCAAAAUUCAAGUUUGGAUGAAUUUAAUUCAAUGUUGUAUGAUGAUUGGUUGGACAUACCUUGUGCUUGUCAUUCAUCCGAUCUUCUUGCUCCAAUCCUGGAAAGGUUAGUGACAAGAAUACCCGAAGGAAUAUUUUUACAAUUAUCCUUAUAUGCUCAAUUCACAAGGUAAUGUUGCAAAUAAUUAAAAGCUCAUGUUAUAAUCUGAUUAGUGCUUGUUUUAGGACACUAAGCUUGUCCUGGGGAAACCAUUAAUUUAUGUCAGCGAAGUGGUUUCCCCUCCAACUCUGACCUAUAUCAAGAUCAACUCAACGAUAUCUGCAAUAUUUAUUAUAGACAUAUGCAUUGACAACCGCCCUUUUAAAGUUUUUAUAAAUAGGAAGGAAGUGGGGGUUGGAGAUCUCGAAUGUGGUGAUGUUGGAGAGACCAGUGGAUUGUGAAGAUGUUGCAUAUGAGCAUGGAGUAAAUGAAGUGGCUAUGAAGUAAAUUCCAUGCUCAUUAAUGCUUAGAGUGAAAUCCAUGUGGUAUGGUGAAAAUGAUAAGGUGAGUGUGGUAAAAAAAAGGAAAAGAAAAAGGAUACACGGACGACUUGGUUCGAAACUAGCACAGCUACCGUUCCCCGGCAAUGGCACCAGAAAGCUUGUUGGGUAUUUUAAACGCAAACAGAAAAAUCCGCAAGCGCACGGAUACCGAUGUAGCUUUCACCCGGGAGUAUUCCAGAGUAUCGAUUUUCCACGGAGAACGUGAAUGUACUAAUUAAGAUCCAAGAUCACCCAAGGAUAACUAUAUGAUUAUUUUUGGUGGGAAGAGAGGAAGUUUCCUGAGAGUUCUCUAGUUGAUCUAAGAAUCAAGAAUUACUUCAAGAUUAUCUAUUUCGGGACAUCAGAACACUAACCACAAAAAGAGAUGAGAAGGGGGCUAGGAAGCUCCGACUACGGUCCUACAAACACUGAUCCGAACGAGGUGGAAUACAUCGACCGUUAGGGCUGUCACUACCCUAAGGCUACCACAACAAUCCGCAGGAUUGGGUGCAAUUCCAGGUAAUUGCAAGACUAAACACCACGUCUAAUCUAUUAAUUACUACUCUAAUGUUUCAAAGAUUAGAGCACUUGAUGCAAGCGGGAAUCCAAUAAAUAACUUGAAUGUAAAUAAAAGUAAUUAGAGAACUCAGGAGUUAUGAAUUGAAGAACCUGGAGAACGAUGAAGAACGAACCAGAUGCUGCAAAAAUAAAAUGUUGAGGAAGAUCCGACAGAUCCGGCUCCUCCUCCGCUCUCCUCUUCUCUCUCCCUAUUUUCUAGAUUACAACUAGAACUAACUAGAACUAGAACUAGAGGAACUAGAACUAGAACUAGAUGAACUAGAACUAGCUCUAGAUGAACUAGAGGUAGAACUAGAAGAACUAGAGGGAUCCUCUCUACUUGGAUGAAGAAUUGAAACCCUAACUUUGAUUCUGUAGAAGAGGUAUGCUCUCCAGGGGCCAGGGGCCUUGCUUAUAUAGUCUUUUCAGAUGAAUCUGGGCCGUCGGAUCAAACCGACAUUGAUCGUGUGGUUUUCCUUGAAGUAUUAGGUCGGUGGAGCAUGAUCCGCGAAACGUUUCCUGAUUGGGCACUGUAGCUGGGCGGGCGCCCUGCCUCCGAGCCCGAUUUCCUUCCCGUUCGUUCCCGUGGCUUCUAGAGUCUUCUAGAUGAUAGAAAAUUGCGCGACACGUUAAUAUCUCUAUGUAAACCCGACGUGUGGGCCUUUCUUCCUUAUUUCCUGAUAACCCCCUGCAGAAAUAGACAAACACCAAAACUCGUGGGAUUCUAUCAGAUAAAACCCUAAGUCUAGGUGUUGGUUGCAUUUGGAUCCUUUUCUAUGAUUAGUUGAUGGUUAAAUGUGAGCAUUAAGGACCGUCAACAAGCUCCCCCAAGCUUAACCUUUGCUCAUCCCUGAGCAAAGAUGAACUCAAGAGUUUCUGCAGUGGUUUCAUAACUUAAAGAUACACAUGCGUUUAAACAAGAUCUCAUCUCGGGUUAGAGUAAACUGUUAAGACUUAAAACUUACUCAUUUACCUUUCACCAUGGGACUUGUAACCAUCACUUCUGUCUUGAGUAGUUAAAAGAUAGAACAGUCUAGUCAAGCACCAUGUCUCUUGUUCUUCGAUUAACUAUAGCUCUGGAGUUUUUGCAGAUUUUCAAAUAAAACUUAGAGAUUCCUUGCAUGACUCUCUCUAGUCUCUCUUUUGUGGUAUUUCUGGAUCCUUACCAAGGCAGUAAUGGUAUAUGCCUUCUCUCAAAGUAUGUGGUAUUUUUGGUAUGAGGCAUAGUGACAUUGCCUUCUCUCUCACCCUACUCUAAUAAGGUUUUGAUAUCUGGAGCUCAUAGGUGGGAGACAGCUAAUACAUACUUACAAGACAUUUAUUGCAUAGUCAAACCAUGGAUCCAAAAGAACAAGUCAAUAAGUCAAAUCAAGAUGUGCAUGUGUGGCGAAUGAAUGGUGUAUGGUAAUGAUAGUGAUAACAAUGGUGAAAGUCUAAUUCUACUUGUGCUCUUUUGAAGGGAUACAUACCUUUCUUGCUCUUUUGAAACUUUUUGAGGAGAAUGAGAUGCUCUAUAUUUUCCCUUUUUUUUCUCUUUUUCUUUUUUCUUUUCUCUCAGGUGGGUAUCUUGUACCCCUAAUUCUACUAUCGGACACUUGUCCAUUUUUACCUCUCAUCUCACUUUUUCUUUUCUUUCGAGGUUCCGGGCACUUGCCCCUUUUUAUUUCCUCGUAUCUCUUUUUUUUUUCUUUUUUUUCUUCUUUUUUUAGAGAGCACUCAUCUCAUGAAAUAAUAUAGCAAGUGGUAGGAACAAGAUAACUUGAGCAUUUAUUUCAUAGGGGAAAACAGAAAUGUUUUUGGCUAUUCUCUCCCGGAUUAGGAGUAGAAUAUUUUUGGGUGGUUCUGGAGAUGGAAAUGGAUAUAUGUGGAUGGUACUUCCAGAGUAGAAGUAGCAUGUGUGAGUGAACGUGCAAGUGAAUCUUGAUUUAACCACAUGACAAGCUUCUAAGGGUCUACACAGCUUGACCACACUCAAUGCUCAUAAGUAGUAAAGUAAAUGUGUGGUGGCAAGAAGAAGACGACGCAACCGCAACCAGAGGAGGCAAAUCAUCAAGGACGGAUGGGCAGACUAUGAAGGAGAAGUCGUAAGGUCUGAAGACAUACAGCUUGAACAGAACUGUCCUGAGGAGACCGUAGCACCGAGUCAAGUGUGUAGAAAGAAGAUAGUUAUACAUGAAGAGGAGGCGCCGCCGGAACCACCUACUACGCCAUCCAGUGAAUUCCAGGAUGAUUGAGAAAACGGAGAGUCCCGUUCGGAGGACUUAAAAACACCGAACGCCUUGCCAAGAGGUAAACUUGGUAGUUAUCCUUUUUCCCUUUCAAUUAUUUAAAAUAGUUUGCUUAGUUAAUCACGUUCAUAUCAUCUUAAAAAGAAAAUAAGAAUGUUAAAAAUAGUAAGCCCCAUGUGAGUAUGCUCAUGGCAUAAAACCCAUAAGUAUAUUCACUGUGGUGGCAUAAAAAUAAAAUAAAUAUAUUCCUGUCCUAUAAAAAUGAAAAUAUAAAAAUAAAUUUAUGAUCCUACUAAAGAGAGUAACAUUUAUUGAGGAGGCUCAACAUGAUAAAGGCUAGGUAUUUACGCUAACCCUUAACCAGUUCCACAAAGCUUUGUUGUCUAUUUGAACUCCACAGAAUUCAAGGAUCAAAGAAGACUAGCAGACGGAGAACAUCCUAAUCGCUGACAGAGUGCUGUCGACAUUCAAAUACACCUCCGCCAGCUGCUAGCUACAUCAGAAGAAAUUACGUCAAAAUCCAGCUUGGGGGAGAGCACCCCCAUUUAUCCAGCUAAGUGUUCUACUCACGUUUAUAUUUUACUCAAAUAAUAAAAAGAUGCAUGAUCAUAAAAACCCAAAUAAAGAUUUUGUGCUUAUAUACCAUUGCUUAGUUUGCUAAAUAAAUAAAUAAAUAAAUAAAGUUUGCUAUGAACCCUCAUGAUAAGCUCUCACAUGGAAAUGAUGAAUAGUUGCUCUGCCAUGACUAGUUCUCAAAAUUGAAAUCUCUCUCAAGUUUAGGCCUAACUGUUAUUAAUUAAGAUUUGCUCUAAACCUGAACUUGUGGGAAGAGUACUUGAUCUGAAGUCUAAGUCGUUAACGGAUAUGAUAUGGGAAGGUUGAGCUGUUGUUUAUCUGUUCUUAGAGAUGCUAGAAUUCUGGAGAAUUUUAUCUUUGAAAAUCUUUAAAAUGUUGCAUGAUGAGUUCCUGUAUGAUGAGAGUUUAAAUUCCUACCACAGCCAGAUAUACAUGCUUGCUAGACUUUGAGCCACACAUUUACUUUUUACAGCUUAUGAGCAUUGAGUGUGGUCAAGCUGUGUAGACCCUUAGGAGCUUGUCAUGUGGUUAAAAUCAAGAUUCACUUGCACGUUCACUCAUACAUGCUGCUUCUACUCCGGAAGUACGCAUCCACAUAUAUCCAUCCAUUUCCAUAUCCAGAACCACCCAAAAAUAUUCUACUCCUAAUCCGGGAGAGAAUAGCCAAAAAUAUUUCUAUUUUUCCCCUGUGAAAUAAAUGCUCAAGUUAUCUUGUUACUACCACUUGCUAUAUUAUCUCAUGAGAUGAGUGCUCUAAUAAAAAAAAGAGAAAAAAAAGAGAGAAAAAAAAGAGAAAAAAAAAGAGAGAUACGAGGAAAUAAAAAGGGGCAAGUGCCUGGAACCUCGAAAGAAAGAAAAAGUGAGACGAGAGGUAAAAAUGGACAAGUGUCCGACAGUAGAAUUAGGGGUACAAGAUACCCACCUGAGAGAAAAGAAAAAGAAAAUAUAGAGCAUCUCAUUCUCCUCAAAAAGUUUCAAAAGAGCAAGAAAGGUAUGUAUCCCCUCAAAAGAGCAAAAGUAGAAUUAGACUUUAACCAUUGUUAUCACCAUCAUCACCUUACACCAUUCAUUCGCCACACAUGCACAUCUUGAUUUGACUUAUUGACUUGUUCUUCUGGAUCCAUGGUUUGAUCAUGCAAUAAAUGUCUUGUAAGUAUGUAUUAGCUAUCUCCCACCUAUGAGCUCCAGAUAUCAAAAGCCUAAUUAGAGUAGGGUGAGAGAGAAGGCAAUGCCACUAUGCCUUAUACCACAAAUACCACAUACUUUAAGAGAAGGCAUACACCAUUAAUGCCUUGGUAAGGAUCCAGAAAUACCACAAAAGAGAGAUUAGAGAGAGUCAUACAAGGAAUCUCUGAGUUUUAUUUGAAAAUCUACAAAAACUCCAGAGCUAUAGCUGAUCAAGAAUAAGAGACAUGUUGCUUGACUAGACCGUUCUAUCUUUUAACUACUCAAGACAGAAGUGACGGUUACAAGUCCCAUGGUGAAAGAUAAAUGAGUAAGUUUUAAGUCUUAACAGUUUACUCUAACCAGAGAUGAGAUCUUGUUUAAACGCAUGUGUAUCUUUAAGUUAUGAAACCACUGCAGAAAUUCUUGAGUUCAUCUUUGCUCAGGGACGAGCAAAGGUUAAGCUUGGGGGAGCUUGUUGACGGUCCUUAAUGCACACAUUUAACCAUCAACUAAUCAUGGAAAAGGAUCCAAAUGCAACCAACACCCAGACUUAGGGUUUUAUCUCACAGAAUUCCACAAGUUUUGGUGUUUGUCUAUUUCUGCAGGGGGUUAUCGGGAAUUAUGGAAGAAAGGCCCACACGUCGGGUUUACAUAGAGAUAUUAACGUGCCGCGCAAUUUUCUAUCAUCUAGAAGACUCCAGAAGCCACGGGACCGAAGCGGAGGCCGAGAGGACACAGGGACAGGGCGCCCGCCCUCCUUUCCUGGGCGCCCGCCCUCGGCCAGAGUCCAAUCAGGACUCUCUUUCGGGAUAUUGCUCCACCGACCUAAAGGAUCAACAAUAACCGUUCAAUCAAUGUCGGUUUGAUCUGACGGCCCAGAUUCACUUGAAGGGACUAUAAAACCAGACCCCCUGGCCCCUGGAUAUCAUACCUCUUCUAUAGAAUCAAAGCUAGGGUUUCAAUUCUUCAUCCAAGUAGAGAGGAUCCCUCUAGUUCUUCUAGUUCUAGUUCUAGUUCUUCUAGUUCUAGUUCUAGUUAGUUCUAGUUGUAAUCUAGAAAAUAGGGAGAGAGAAGAGGAGAGCGGAGGAGGAGCCGGAUCUGUCGGAUCUUCCUCAACAUUAUACUUUUGCAGCAUCUGGUUCGUUCUUCAUCGUUCUCCAGGUUCUUCAAUUCAUAAUUCUUGAGUUCUUUAAUUACUUUUAUUUACAUUCAAGUUAUUUAUUGGAUUCCCGCUUGCAUCAAGUGCUCUAGUCUUUAUAACGCUAGAGUAGUAAUUAAUAGAUUAGACGUGGUGUUUAGUCUUGCAAUUACCUGGAAUUGCACCCAAUCCUGCGGAUUGUUGUGGUAGCCUUAGGGUAGUGACAGCCCUAACGGUCGACGUAUUCCACCACGUUCGGAUCGGUGUUUGUAGGACCGUAGUCAGACCUUCCUAGCCCCCUUCUCAUCUCUUUCCGUGGUUAGUGCUCUGAUGUCCCGAUAUAGAUAAUCUUGAAGUAAAUCUUGAUUCUUAGAUCAACUAGAGAACUCUCAGUAAACUUCCUCUCUUCCCACCAAAAAUAAUUAUAUAGUUAUCCUUGGGCGAUCUUGGAUCUUAAUUAGUACACUCACGUUCCCUGUGGAAAAUCGAUACUCUGGAAAACUCCCGGGUGAAGGCUACAUCGGUAUCCGUGCGCUUGCAGAUUUUUCUGUUUGCGUUUAAAAUACCCAACAACAUCAUGGAGAGGUUUCCACAAGAGCUAGUCCACGCCUUCGCUGGGCUGUUUCCCUGGGGUGACCCCUACACUUCGGUGUGGGAUCAGUCUGAGGGGAGUGAUCUAGAGAGGAGUGCGGAUGAGGGCCAGCACAAUGACACUACGGGUAUGAGUGCUAUGUUUGCCAUGAUGGAGACUUAUGGAGGUCUAGAGCGCUGCUUGGGGCGCUUGUCUGGGUCUCUAAUGACAGUUCAGGAUGAGAAGCGCCAGCUACAGCGUGAGUUUGACAGUGAGGUUGAGAGGCUGCAGGCAGAGUUGGCCCGUGUGACUCUAGAGAGGGACCAGGCAGUCUGGAAGAACAGUGUGCUGAGUCAGGAUCUACUAGCAGUGAGAGAGCAGAAGGACAGGGUAACCACAGCUCGCAAGAACUGCAAGCGCAUGCUAGUCCAUGUGCUUGGUCAGAGGAAUGAAGCCUGGCACGAGGAGGACACCCUGAGGGCUCGACAGGUGGAGCUUGAGCAGCAGCUAGCUAAUGAUGAGGAAUACAAUGAGAACCUUCAUGAGGAGAUCCACCAGCUACAUAACCAGCUCCACCCUUAGCACCUACCUGGAGCAGUUGAGUUAGACUUUGAGGAUGAGAUGGAUGAGGAUCCAGAGAUGGAGGCAGCCGCUAGUGAAGAUGAGGAUGAGGAAGGUUCCGACAUGGACAGCCAGCAUAGCUAGUAGAUGCUAGGGCUCUAGAGCUAGUCUUUCUUAUUUUGCUGUUGUUGUUGCAUGACAUGUGCGUGUAAUCUGUUUGGAUCUUGGAUGUGUAAGACUUUAUGUGCUGAGUUGUGUUGACGCUGAAAGUCCAGUGUAUCUAUACUGGCAAUUUUGGAUGUAUGCGAACCUUGUUGGCUAGAUGCUAAGUAAUCGGUUAGUGAUGUUGUGUGUGGAUAAUGAAUCAUUGUGCCUCUGUUUAAUGUUUGGAUUUGUUCUUGUUAGUAAAUUCACUGUGGCACAAUUUUGCAUAUGUCUACUGGUUGAUAACAACUCCUAACGACUGCUUAUCGUUGACGCAUGCAGAUGGUGCAAACACAUGGCGGGGGUAACCGCAACCAUGGUGCUGGAGAAGGUUCCUCUGGAGGUGGGGCUCGCAGGAAUGAGGAAAGAGCACCAUCACCGCCACCACCACCACCUCCUCCGUACACCGUGGACAUGUUUUUUGUGCAGUUUCUGGGAAGCCAACAAAACAUGGAACAAAUGCAGCGAAACAUGGAAGCUGCCCUACGUAACAUCGCCGACAACACCCGCCGUGGGGAUAACUAGGGCGGCCGCAAAGUGAAUCAGUACAGCUCUUUGAAGGACUUCAUGGACACAAAACCACCGGUCUUUAAGGAGGCCCUAGAACCGCUUGAAGCAGAUGAAUGGAUUAACACCAUGGAGCAGAAGUUCUGUCUCCUUUGGCUGACCGAAGAGCUCAAGCCAGAGUACGCAGCGCAUCACUGUUGAUAUUUGGUAACGCAAUAAGGAAUUGACCUGCAAGCGCACGGAUAUCGAUGAGCAUUUCACCCGGGAGGUUAUCCAGAGUAUCGUAUUUAUAUUUUUACCACUGGGAGAAAGGGUGCAUUUAACUAACCAAAUCUAUUGCUACUACCCUUUAGGCUACAAAGAAUGUUUCUCGAUGUGAGCGAUGUAUAGAGUAAACUGCAACCGUAGUCUCGUUCUAACCUUGGUAAGGAUGAUCUACUAUUCUAUUGGGGAAGCUUACGGAAUCUAGACACCACAAAGGAUGUUCGACCCGCACCUAUAAACCUACCCGUCCUGCUGACGAGAUGUGGGAUGCAAAGGUAACUCGGAAAUGUCAAGUUCCUUGCUACUACCAUGGUCCAGCUAGUCAGGGGAUAUCUAUGAGUACCCUAGCCCAAACACCACGUUUACGCUAGCAAUGAUUACUCUAAACUUAACCGGAAGAGAUUAAAGUAAACUCAUAAACCAAAGAACAAUAAAACAAGAACUUACUAGAAUUUAGAAGUCGAAUUACGGAAGAAUCCUAGGAGCAAGCCUCGGGUUAGAAGACUUGAUCCCGCAGGUACAACCUCAGAGGAGACACCGACAGGCCGAGCUUCCUCCGAUCUACACCUCCACUCUAUCUCUCUCAAUCUAGUAGAAACUAGAAGAUCUAAUUCUACUCACAUUGGAUGCUAAGCCUAAAUGAAAUUUUAUAUAGAGGAGAGGUAUUCCUUCGAGGGCUCCUCUCAACUCUAUGAUGAAGUUGUCUCCUCCAGGGGCCAGGGUGUCUGGUUUUAUAGUCCCCUCAAGUGAACGUGAGCCGUUGGAUCAAACCGACAUUGAUUGGGCAGUUAUCCUUGAUCCUUUAGGUCAGUGGACCUUGGUCCCCGAAAAGAGUUCUGAUUGAACUCUAGGUCAGGGCGGGCGCCCAAGGGGGGUGGGCGGGCGCCCUGCCCCCAGGCCCGUUUACCUUCCCGAUCGUUCCCGUGGCUUCUAGAGUUUUUCUAGAUGACAGAAAAUUGCGCGGCAUGUUAAUAUCUCUAUGUAAACCCGACAUGUGGGCCUUUCUUCCGUGUUUCCUGAUAACACCCUGUAGAAAUAGACAAACACCAAAAGUCGUGGAAUUCUGUCAGAUAAAACCCUAAGUCUGGGUGUUGGUUACAUUUGGAUCCUUUUCUUUAUUUAUUUGAUGAUUAUAUUUGGUACUUAAGGACCGUCAACAACUCCCCGAAGCUUACCUCUUGCUCGUCCCUGAGCAAGGAUGAACUCAAGAGUUUCUGCAGUGGUUUCAUGCCUUAAAUGUAAGAUCUCAUCUCUGAGUUAGAGUAAACUGUUAAGACUUAAAACUUACUCAUUUUACCUUUCACCAUGGGGCUUGUAACCGUCACUUGUGUCUUGAGUAGUUAAAAGAUAGAACAGUCUAAUCAAGCGCCAUGUCUCGUAUUCUUGAUCAGCUAUAGCUCUAGUGUUUUUGCAAAUUUUGAAAUAAAACUCAGAGAUUCCUUGUAUGAUUCUCUCAUAUCUCUCUUUUGUGGUAUUUCUGGAUCCUUACCAAGGCAGUAAUGGUAUAUGCCUUCUCUCAAAGUAUGUGGUAUUUUUGGUAUAAGGCAUAGUGAUAUUGCCUUCUCUCUCACCCUACUUUAAUAAGGUUUUGAUAUCUAGAGCUCAUAUGUGGGAGAUAGAUAAUACAUACUUACAAGACAUUUAUUGCAUAGUCAAACCAUAGAUCGAGAGAAACAAGUCAAUAAGUCAAAUCAAGAUGUGCAUGUGUGGCGAAUGAAUGGUGUAUGGUGAUAAUGGUGAAAGUCUAAUUCUACUUUUGCUCUUUUAAAGGGAUACAUACCUUUCUUGCUCUUUGAAGCAUUUUGAGGAGAAGGAGAUGCUCUACAUUUUCUUUUUCUUCUUCUCUCAGGUGGGUAUCUUGUACCCCUAAUUCUA
rnacentral:lncRNA from 1 species